rnacentral:rRNA from 1 species
ACUCCUACGGGAGGCAGCAGUGGGGAAUAUUGCACAAUGGGCGCAAGCCUGAUGCAGCCAUGCCGCGUGUAUGAAGAAGGCCUUCGGGUUGUAAAGUACUUUCAGCAGUGAAGGAAGGGUGGAUAUGUUAAAUAGCAUACUCAUUUGACGUUAGCUGCAGAAGAAGCACCGGCUAACUCCGUGCCAGCAGCCGCGGUAAUACGGAGGGUGCGAGCGUUAAUCGGAAUUACU